ACGCUGCUGAUAAAGACAUACCUGAGACUGU
rnacentral:piRNA from 1 species